AACGAACGCUGGCGGAAGGAGGAACACAGGAAAGUCGAGCGUGCCCUUCGGGGUGAGCGGCGGACGGGUGAGUAACGCGUGGGAACGUGCCCUUUUCUAAGGAAUAGCCUCGGGAAACUGAGAGUAAUACCGUAUACGCCCUUUGGGGGAAAGAUUUAUCGGAAAAGGAUCGGCCCGCGUUGGAUUAGGUAGUUGGUGGGGUAAUGGCCUACCAAGCCGACGAUCCAUAGCUGGUUUGAGAGGAUGAUCAGCCACACUGGGACUGAGACACGGCCCAGACUCCUACGGGAGGCAGCAGUGGGAAAUCUUAGACAAUGGGGGCAACCCUGAUCUAGCCAUGCCGCGUGAAUGAUGAAGGCCUUAGGGUUGUAAAGCUCUUUCAGCUGGGAAGAUAAUGACGGUACCAGCAGAAGAAGCCCCGGCUAACUCCGUC
rnacentral:rRNA from 1 species